rnacentral:rRNA from 1 species
AUUGAACGCUGGCGGCAGGCCUAACACAUGCAAGUAGAACGAGUGGCGGAAGGGUGAGUAAUGUCUGGGAAACUGCCUGAAGGAGGGGGAUAACUACUGGAAAAGGUAGCUAAUACCGCAUACCAUCGGAUGAGACCAGAUGGGAUUAGCUAGUAGGGGGGGUAAAGGCGCACCUCGGCGACGAUACCUAGCUGGUCUGAGAGGAUGACCAGCCACACUGGAACUGAGACACGGUCCAGACUCCUACGGGAGGCAGCAGUGGGGAAUAUUGCACAAUGGGCGCAAGCCUGAUGCAGCCAUGCCGCGUGUAGGAAGAAGGCCUUCGGGUUGUAAAGUACUUUCAGCGGGGAGGCGUUACCCGCAGAAGAAGCACCGGCUAACUCCGGGCCAGCAGCCGCGGUAAUUC